UUAAUUGAAGCCAAAUAGAGGCGUAUUAAUGUUAAUAAUAUUAUUGAAUAAAUUUUCCAGUUAAA
rnacentral:tRNA from 1 species